CCCAGAACGGUAACAGGCCUGAAUGGCAAUGGCGGCUACUAGCGCAGCUACCAUUCGCCGCCAUGCGUCCGUUGACAGGUUGGAAUAGAUGGUGCCAGUGGUAGCAUCCAUCCUUUCACCUGUGUGCGUCGGUGAUGGGGUUUGCGGGUGCGUGGUGAGAGAGGGGGACAGGUGCACGCUAUCAUGAACCAGGCUAAAUUCGUAAUAAUUCGCCCCCCAUGCGCCACAAACCCCACCCAACCUGAAACCCCUUAGUUCCCCAGAUCCAUUUCCACGUCACUGUGUCGCACAAUUCCGCCGACCUUUGCGCACCCCAGCAUAUGUGUGCCCGCGGUUUCCAAUGCUCUAUUGAAUGCACCAAAAGCCAGCCCAGGCCCUGCGUCCUAGGGCCCAAACGAGCUCCUCCGUACAAUGUUUGCUCGCACACUCCGGCGCACGCGAUUAGGUGUCGCGCGCUACUGUAUGGUAGCCCUUGUGUCGCACAAGUGGUUGGAGCGUGUUUGGGGUGAGUUGGCGCGGCAGGGUGGUGUCGCGCCCAUGCUGCCCCGCUUGCGGGGCUUGUUCCCGGCCGGUCUCUGAUGGCUAUGGUGUAGUCCUAUGAAUUAUCUGUGCGCGGGUUGGUGCCCGGCGAAUUUCUGUUGCAUGGGGCCUGCGCGCAUGGCGUGCCCCUCGGGGGGUAAUCGCGCUCGGAUCACAUAAGGGCCGCUCGAACUAAAAUUUGCCACUCAUACAAUAAUUACAGCUACUGUAUGUCUACUCGCCCAUGUGUAGCACGCUUGGGCGCUAGCUCGCAUUUGAGAGAACCAACACCCUUGCUCCCCCCAUUUUCGUCAAAACCAACAUUCUGCAAAUUGAUACUGUAGUUCUCACUCUGAGUAGCAGCUACGGCUGUCGUUCCCGUGGUUGAGAGCCCUUACCGUUGUGGUUCUACUGUGGAGGCAGCGGGCGUAGCGACCGGGCGCAAGCAGCCGAGCGGGCGGUGGAGAACCAGUCGCAAAAGUCUGCGGAAUUGUGGGAUCCAGUGAAGGCGGGUUCGUGUGUCGGUUGUGACAGAGCGAGGUGAGCCCGAGCGCGAAGCCCAGCUGGCGCUACAACCUUUGGGUCAAAAGUCAACGAUAGCCGCUGCGGGCCAGGCGCGUGGCCUCGCUGGGUCGCUGGUUGCACCCAGCAUGGCGUUUCGCAAGCUUAACUGGUUUUGGUUGCAAGUUCCUUCGCGGCGAUGCUCCAAUUGCGCCCUAUGCACUGGUUGCAGGUCGUCGGCGGUGUUCCGGCGUCAUGCUUCCGUGGCAAAAUGUAUGAUGCGCUCCGGUC
rnacentral:lncRNA from 1 species